AACGAACGCUGGCGGCAUGCCUAACACAUGCAAGUCGAACGAGACCUUCGGGUCUAGUGGCGCACGGGUGCGUAACGCGUGGGAACCUGCCCUUAGGUUCGGAAUAACUCCCCGAAAGGGGUGCUAAUACCGGAUAAUGUCUUCGGACCAAAGAUUUAUCGCCUUUGGAUGGGCCCGCGUUGGAUUAGCUAGUUGGUAGGGUAAAAGCCUACCAAGGCGACGAUCCAUAGCUGGUCUGAGAGGAUGAUCAGCCACACUGGGACUGAGACACGGCCCAGACUCCUACGGGAGGCAGCAGUGGGGAAUAUUGGAAAAUGGGCGAAAGCCUGAUCCAUCAAUGCCGCGUGAGUGAUGAAGGCAUUAGGGUUGUAAAGCUCUUUUACCCGGGAUGAUAAUGACAGUACCGGGAGAAUAAGCUCCGGCUAACUCCGUG
rnacentral:rRNA from 1 species